GGCUGGUGUGAAGGUCGUGAGUUAUCUCAGUUGAUCACAGUCAGUUACAGAUCAAACUCCUUGUUGUACUCUUUCACCCCUUCUCACUACUGUAGUUGGCUAGUCUUAA
ensembl:misc_RNA Y_RNA Y RNA